rnacentral:misc_RNA from 1 species
GAUGAAGAACGUAGCGAAAUGCGAUACUUGGUGUGAAUUGCAGAAUCCCGUGAACCAUCGAGUCUUUGAACGCAAGUUGCGCCCGAAGCCGUCAGGCCGAGGGCACGCCUGCCUGGGCGUCACACGCCGUUGCCCCCCCGCGCCCCGCACCCAACUCUUUGGGAGCGACCGCGGGGCGGGCUGAUGAUGGCCUCCCGUGCGCUCCGCCGCGCGGUUGGCCCAAAUACCGAGUCCCCGGCGACGUGCGCCACGACGAUCGGUGGUUGAGAGACCUCUGUCGCAAGUCGUGCGCGCCCGUCGCGUCACGCGGGCUCGCAUAGCGCCUCGCGCCGCACCCGGUGCGGAGCUUUCAACGCGACCCCAGGUCAGGCGGGGUUACCCGCUGAAUUUAAGCAUAUCAAUAAGCCGAGGA